rnacentral:rRNA from 1 species
UCCGGUGGCGAUGGCAGAGGGGAAACACCCGUUCCCAUUCCGAACACGGUCGUUAAGCCCUCUAGCGCCGAUGGUACUGCGUGGGAGACUGCGUGGGAGAGUAGGACGCUGCCGGGG